AUAAACAUUACUCAAUGGACUACGAAGGAGACUUUACAAUUAAUAACAAAUCUCAAGACAGACAGUGUAUAAAUUGGACCUCAUUGGAAAUGGGCUGGACUCCGGCCUAAUGGGCGUUCCUGAUGCUCAUUACGUGAUGUAGACAAAGAAGCCACAACUAGGGCCUAUCAGGAAAGAAUGUGCGGACUCAAUCGUGAAAGGGCAACAGAACUUACCAAUUAGACCUAUUCAUAGAUAGCCAAAUAUGUUGUCACUCAUCAAACUUAAGCUUCCUGCAAAAAUUCUGGACAUGAAAUUAAUUAAAAUAUAGUGUAAAUUUUAUUUUUUAAAUGUUUCCUCGGCAAUAAUCUCAAACAUAAUGUUAGCAAUAUGUAGUCAUUCUUGUUGGCUUUAUGUUUAUUAAUAUUGUAUUAUUACUGCAAUGUUUAUCUUAUUAAUAGAGAAAGUAACCCGUUUGUUGUAAAGAGUAAGAUAAUAAGAUAUAACAUUUUGAGGAUUAAAAUCAGAUUUAGUGGUUUUUGCCGGAUGUACAUGAUAUAGGCCUACAGUAUAUGAAUAUAAAAUGUAUAUAUAUA